AGUGAACGCUGGCGGUAUGCCUAACACAUGCAAGUCGAACGGCAGCACAGUAAGAGCUUGCUCUUACGGUUGGCGAGUGGCGGACGGGUGAGGAAUACAUCCGCAUCUACUUUUUCUUGGGGGAUAACGUAGGGACACUUACGCUAAUACCGCAUACGACCUACGGGUGGAAUCAGAGGAUCUUCGGACCUUGCGCGAUUGAAUGAGCCGAUGUCGGAUUAGCUAGUUGGCGGGGUAAAGGCCCACCAAGGCGACGAUCCGUAGCUGGUCUGAGAGGAUGAUCAGCCACACUGGAACUGAGACACGGUCCAGACUCCUACGGGAGGCAGCAGUGGGGAAUAUUGGACAAUGGGCGCAAGCCUGAUCCAGCCAUGCCGCGUGGGUGAAGAAGGCCUUCGGGUUGUAAAGCCCUUUUGUUGGGAAAGAAAAGCAGUAUGUUAAUAACGAGCGGUUCUGACGGUACCCAAAGAAUAAGCACCGGCUAACUUCGUG
rnacentral:rRNA from 1 species